GACGAACGCUGGCGGCGUGCCUAAUACAUGCAAGUCGAGCGAAGUGGAGAGAGCUUGCUCUCGAAGCUUAGCGGCGAACGGGUGAGUAACACGUGGGCAACCUGCCCGAUAGACCGGGAUAACUUGGGGAAACUCAAGCUAAUACCGGAUAGGAUCAUUGACCGCCUGGUUGGUGAUGGAAAGUCUGAACGACACUAUCGGAUGGGCCCGCGGCGCAUUAGCUAGUUGGUGGGGUAAAGGCCUACCAAGGCGACGAUGCGUAGCCGACCUGAGAGGGUGACCGGCCACACUGGGACUGAGACACGGCCCAGACUCCUACGGGAGGCAGCAGUAGGGAAUCUUCCACAAUGGGCGAAAGCCUGAUGGAGCAACGCCGCGUGAGUGAUGAAGGUUUUCGGAUCGUAAAACUCUGUUGUUAGGGAAGAACACCCGGGAGAGGAUCCCGGAAUGACGGUACCUGACGAGAAAGCCCCGGCUAACUACGUGCCAGCAGCCGCCGUAAGAC
rnacentral:rRNA from 1 species